GAUGAACGCUGGCGGCGUGCCUAAUACAUGCAAGUCGAGCGAAUGGAUUAAGAGCUUGCUCUUAUGAAGUUAGCGGCGGACGGGUGAGUAACACGUGGGUAACCUGCCCAUAAGACUGGGAUAACUCCGGGAAACCGGGGCUAAUACCGGAUAACAUUUUGAACCGCAUGGUUCGAAAUUGAAAGGCGGCUUCGGCUGUCACUUAUGGAUGGACCCGCGUCGCAUUAGCUAGUUGGUGAGGUAACGGCUCACCAAGGCAACGAUGCGUAGCCGACCUGAGAGGGUGAUCGGCCACACUUGGACUGAGACACGUCCCAGACUCCUACGGGAGGCAGCAGUAGGGACUCUUCCGCAAUGGACGAAAGUCUGACGGAGCAACGCCGCGUGAGUGAUGAAGGCUUUCGGGUCGUAAAACUCUGUUGUUAGGGAAGAACAAGUGCUAGUUGAAUAAGCUGGCACCUUGACGGUACCUAACCAGAAAGCCACGGCUAACUACGUGCCAGCCGCCGCGGUAA
rnacentral:rRNA from 1 species